rnacentral:sRNA from 1 species
GCCGUGCCGAAGGUUCAGGGGGGAUUCCGGCCGGUUACACUGGCGCCGGCCUCGCCCCGUAGCGGGUGGUCGCCAGUGAUUCAGUCAGCAGCCGCUGCAACACUAGGGAG